rnacentral:lncRNA from 1 species
UAAUGCACUAUCAAAAAUAAAAUGAAAUAAAAAUGGUGUGUGUCUUUUAAUGUGAACAAAUAUAAAACCCAUAAAAAAAAAAAAUAAAAAAUCAAGAUAUGGAGAAUUUCUGUACUUUUUUCAAUCUCUGUGAAUUUCUGUUGGACACUCUGGAAAAUUUUCAAAAUUUCUGUGUACUUUUUUCAAUUUUGAAUUGUGGGAAAGAAAAAUGUCUGGGAAAUACAAACAUUAGCAGUGUCCUGAUUCCCUAUUCAAUUUAUUGUCAUAGUCAUCUUUGUUCCAUUGGCAAAAAUAUCAGUGUAAAAAUAUGUGAUCAGAUGAAUGAGAAAAACUUAUCAGUUACUUUAUUAAUCAAAAAUGUAUUUUUCAUUAAAAAAAAUAUUUCCUAAAAUAUGUUAUAAAAAUAAAAUGUAGUUCUGUAAACUUUGCAAAAGAUAGCUAUAGGUCUUGAAAAUCC